rfam:Bacteroidetes bacterium 37-13 scnpilot_p_inoc_scaffold_75, whole genome shotgun sequence.
GGAUCGGUAGUUCAGUUGGUUAGAAUGCUGCCCUGUCACGGCAGAGGUCGCGGGUUCGAGUCCCGUCCGGUCCG